UCCACACACUAUUGUUAGUGUAGAUUUCUGCAGAAGCAUCUAUCCAGGUGAGAGGUUGAAUAAGUGGAGGAAAAGGCACAUAAGCCCAAUAAGAAUAUUUAUGUGUAGCAGGUAAAUCAGUGUGAGAGGAAACUGGUGAGACAGAAAGUAUAAGGAGGAGAAUCAUUAAAUAAAACUUAUUGUAAGUGAGAUUCUGAAGAAGGAAGAGAAGAACAGUGUUAAGUAUCCUGGCAAAGGAGCAUUAGGGUUACAGAUAGAAUUGAAGUUGCUCGUCAGCUGAUUGAAGAUAAGGAGAUUGGCCUGGAUUAUCCAGGUAGGCUCAAUGUAAUCAGGAAGGGCCUUUAAAGUGAGAGAGGGAGGCAGAAGAGGAAGUCAGAGCGAUGUGCUGUGAAAUCUACUACCGUUUGCUGGUUUUGAAAAUGGAGAAAAAGAGUGAGGAACUGAGAAACAUGGAUGGCCUUGGGAACGUGGAAAAGGAACUUCCUAUGUCAUGAAGACACUCAAGGAACUCUAUCGAGAAAUUCAUGUAUCAAGAAACUGAGGCCUACUGCCAAUAGCCAUAUGAGCGAAUCAUCUCAAAAGUGAUUUUAUAGCCCCUGUAAAGCCUUCACAUGACUGCAACCUUAUGAGAUAUCCUGAGCCAGUACCACCCAACUAAGUUACUUCUAAAUAUCUGACUCCAUAGAUGCUAUGAGGAGAGCACAAAAAUAAAAUACAUUAAAAAACCAGCGCAGAACCUGCUACAUUAUGG
rnacentral:lncRNA from 1 species